rnacentral:snRNA from 1 species
GGAUGUGAGGGUUAUCUGGCGGUGACAUCUGUCACCCCAAUGAUUGCCAGGGUUGAUUUGACUGAUCUGGCUGGCUGGUGUCCCCUUCCUCCCUCAAUACUCCAUGGGGGGGGCCCUCCUGAAGUGUGCAGUCAGUCGUAGAGGAUGACCUUGCCCUAUAGAGGAGGACCAGUAUUUAGUCAAGGAUAUGAGAGUAGCUGUGCUCCCCUGCUAGAACCUCCAUACAAGUUUCUAUUGAUCAUUUCUAGAACUUUUUAUUUAAAAGUCACAAGUACAGUUGCCUGCAGGGAACUAAAACUACAGAAAACAGAACUGGGUAAGGGGGUAACGACUGUACUGCAUCUUAUUUGCCUCUUUACCU